AUUGAACGCUGGCGGCAUGCCUUACACAUGCAAGUCGAACGGCAGCACGGGAGCAAUCCUGGUGGCGAGUGGCGAACGGGUGAGUAAUAUAUCGGAACGUGCCCAGUCGUGGGGGAUAACGUAGCGAAAGCUACGCUAAUACCGCAUACGAUCUAUGGAUGAAAGCGGGGGAGUCGCAAGACCUCGCGCGAUUGGAGCGGCCGAUAUCAGAUUAGGUAGUUGGUGGGGUAAAAGCCUACCAAGCCUUCGAUCUGUAGCUGGUCUGAGAGGACGACCAGCCACACUGGAACUGAGACACGGUCCAGACUCCUACGGGAGGCAGCAGUGGGGAAUUUUGGACAAUGGGCGCAAGCCUGAUCCAGCAAUGCCGCGUGCAGGAUGAAGGCCUCGGUUGUAACUGCUUUGUACGGACGAAACGGUACUCUCUAAUACAGGGGCGUAAUGACGGUACCGUAAGAAUAAGACACCGGCUAACUACGUG
rnacentral:rRNA from 1 species